AAUCAACGCUGGCGGCGUGCCUCAGACAUGCAAGUCGAACGCGAAAUUUCCCUUCGGGAGAAAGUAGAGUGGCGCACGGGUGAGUAACACGUAGGUAAUUUGCCUUUGGGUGGGGAAUAAACUCAGGGAAACUUGAGCUAAUACCGCAUAAUGCAGCGGCUCGACAUCGAGACAGUUGUUAAAGCGGGGGAUCGCAAGAUCUCGCGCCUGAAGAGAAGCCUGCGGCAGAUUAGCUAGUUGGUAAGGUAAUGGCUUACCAAGGCGACGAUCUGUAACCGGCCUGAGAGGGCGGUCGGUCACACUGACACUGACAUACGGGUCAGACUCCUACGGG
rnacentral:rRNA from 1 species